CACUGUGUAUUUUUAUUUUAACUUCCAUGGGUAAGAAUUCACUGUGGAGGAGAAUUUUGUGUUAAGCUUCUCAACACUUGGCCUGCAUUGUCCUCCAGGUGUCUUGAGCUGCUUUGCAAAUGGAAUCAAUGGUUGUUCUUAGGAAACAUCAGUGCCUGUUUUGUGUUGGGCAAUGGUUGUAAUGUACCUUGGAGAUAGGCUGGGCUCUGUGGGGGUUAGGAACAGAUUUAAGCCUUGCUGUGGAUGGUGGGAUUGCACUUACUUGCACUGCAGAAGAAACUGGACCUUGGACCUGGCCUUCCACCGAGAACCAGGACACUCUUAGAACCUUCAGCUUCUGGAUCCUCUGGAUUUUCACUUCCAGGGAGCCAUUAUGUGACAGUUUGCAGCUUAUUUUGAGAAGCCUUCACACCACAAGUACCCAGCUGAGCAUCUUAUGGGCUGAAACUCCCUGUGUUUGGUACUGCAUGGAUCAGACAAGGAGAGGGGCCUGUUAGUGUGGAUGGCUGAUGAGGCCAGUCAUUUAAACAAGUGUUUGUAAAGAGUGUUAAGGCUUUUAGGCUGUGUGCCUCUGAGCUGUAAGAUUGACAUGAGUGUUUGAGAGAGGAAAACCAUCUAAAAAAAAAACCAAACCUUUGUACUUCCAGUAGGAGUCAGGCUAUGAACACCCCAGUCCUGCUGCCUCAAUCCUCACAGGAGUCAUUCUGAAGGGGGAAAUCCCAUUAAGUCAUAAUAGGGCUCUUAAGUAGUUCCCUCAGAUGAAUUUGUGGCACUCUGCAAGUCCCAUAAUUCCCAAUAUACAGAUGAAGAAGCUGAGGUUAAGUGACUUAGCCAAGGUCAUGUAGCAAAUCAAUAACCACUCCAGCACCCCUCUAGUUGCCUCCAUGUGUCUCCGGCUUCAGUGAGGACACUGCCAGCACCUGCCAAAGGGAAAUUAUCAUCCCCACCACGGCCCAGCCAUGGAAACUCAGGGUUUGAAAUGUUGAAUCACGUGGCUAAACAGGUACAUAAAAAAGCUGGUGGUGUUAAGAAACGGGGGUUUCUGAGUUCAAUCUAAGCUUGCUUCCCACGAGUGGCUGUUCCCAAGGAAAAGGGUUGUUUGUCCUGGGAUCAGGCAGACUGUAAUUCUGGGACUCGUAGGAUGCUUAUUUUAGUUCAUUUAUGUGUUGUCUUUAUCAUAGAGUCAGAGAAUGGUUUGGGUUGAAGGGGACUUUAAAUCUGAUCUGAUUCCACCCCCUGCCAUGGGCAGGGACACCUUUCACUAGCCCAGGUUGCCCCAAGCCCCGUCCAACCUGGCCUUGGGAUGGGGCAGCCACAGCUUCUCUGGGCAACCUGGACCAGGGCCUCACCACCCUCACAGGGAACAAUUUCUUCCCAAUAUCCUAUCUAAAUCUAUCCUCUGUUAAGUUUAAGGCUAUUCUCCCCUUAUCUCUUGUUCCUCUUCCCACCACAGCUCUCUGGGGUCAGAGGGGAAUGGGAGAUGCUGGAUGUAGACAUCUGGUAUUGCCCAAGAGGGCUGUUUCUCCUUAUGACAGUGCCUUGCUCCCCUGUUCUUUUCUCGCAGCUUUUCUAGAGCUAAUUCCCAGCUCUUUGAAUUGCUGGUCCUGCUCUUGCAGUUGCAGUGGCCGGUGCUUGAUAAUCUGGGUCCGUUUCCUUUCCCAGGAAAACAGGACAAAAGCAUAGAGAAUGAACACAACCUGUGUGUUGGGAUCAACCCACUGUCCUUGGCUUUGCUGUGUUCCCUGUAGUGCCUCCUGCAGCCCUGUGGGAUGGUGCUCCAGGAGGCUGGAAAGGAGAGGUCAAUGAUAAGUUGUUCUCCAUGUCAGGCUCCUUCCAACUUUGCUGCGAGGUCUCAGAAGGACAGCAUGUAUUUCAUGUAUGCCCCUCUCUGCUUCCUGAUCAGCUUUUCUGCAUGUGUUUGGCACUUGCCAGACCUCUGGCAUCCCUACUGCUGUCCAGCUUAACAUGCAGGAAAGGAGCUUUUGGGAAUUCUGCAGGACAGCAACUCUGCAGGUAGAAGGGUGAGGAUGAAGAUCAGCCUCCUGCACUAUCUCCCACAGCUUUAUGACUUUCCAGCUCCUCCAGAAAUGCCCUGACCUAAUCCAAGAGCCCCUCUGUGUCCUAUCCCCGGUGCUGUGCCUGCAUUGCAAGCACUAAGCUCCUGCUCAGCCUUUCCCAGCAGCAGGGAGGGCAGGGUGGACUGCCACUGCUGUCUCCCAUCUUGCUGGGGUGAUGGAUGGCAGCUCCUGCAGAGGAGCGCUUGGUAUUGGAUAGCUCCUGGAGGAUUUCCAACCUGGCUUUGAAGUUGGCCAAGUGUUAAACUUGUUUUGAUGGUUUUUAUGUAUUGGAGCAGUUUUCUGUGUUUAUUUUGGGGUGAUAUCCCAGCACCCCAGCUGCUGCUGGAAGGAUGCUCUGGGAGGGCACCAUCCCUGAAAACAACCCUCCCUUCAGCAGUGCAUGGCAAAGCUCCCGUGUUUCACAUUCAGUGGGAGGCACAGGAGAUAUUUUGGACUGCAAACUGUGGCUUUAAAAAAACCCACUCAGCAGUGAUUUGAGGUUUUCUUCUCGAAGCCUUACUGACUUUGAAUAUAUACUGCCUCUGUUUUUGUGAGCAGGCUCUCCAGCAAGACGGACCUGUUCCAGGGAUUGUUGUGCCUCAGGUAUCAGCUGCUCCUUUUGUAGAUGGGAUGACUUAGGCCCCCUGUUCCCUGCCGUCCUCUGGUUUGAUUUCACCUUCCUUCACAUCGUGGCAUUUCAGAGAAAGCUCCCUGUUUGGUAGAGCAGCUGUGCUGUCUUAAUUCAGCUGUAAUGUGUGUUUGUCCAGGUGCUGCCGGUGGGGCACAGCAGCACUAGGAAGAUGUUUUAUGAGAUCCUUUCCAAGUCCUACUAAUCUCUGAGUCUCUCUAGGAUUUGUGGAUAUCAGCUGUGCUGCUUUUGCUUCGUGGGAUGGGGUUGGAACCUGAAGAUGGGAAAUCAGUUGCGUGUGAUCCCUUAUCUGCCUCGUCUCACUGUUACCUCUCCCCUCCCGGCUGUUUCCAGCAGCCAAAGAGGGGUUAGUCGUUGUAUUCCAGACCUUAAACCAUGUUGGGGGAGUUCGAACAUAGCUGAGCAGCUUCAGAGAGGGUCCUACCUGCUUGUUUGUGGAGCUUGCUGGUGGCACUGGAGACCUUCCCCUGCAGCCUGGAUCCCAGGGAACGUUCCCACUCCUGCACCACCGAGUGCCAGCAUCGAGAUUAAGAUCCUGGAGAAAAACGUCCAGCAGUCCCCAGCUGAGAGCAGAGCUUUCCCUGCACAGCCCUGGUGGAUAAGAAGCUCAACAAGACCUGGGACCCAGAAACCCCCCGUGUGCUGGGCUGAGUCCAGAGAAGUGUGGGCAGCAGAUGAGGGGGGACUGUUCCCCUCUGCCCUACUUAGGACUCAUUCCCUUUGGUCAGCUCUGCCACACCCUCAGGCUUCCAGGAGGCUUCAAGGAGACUCUUCUUCCCAAGGCAGUGGAACGGUGUCCAUGUGGAAACUUGCUGUGCCCAUGGAAGUGCUGAAGAAGACACUGCAUCUGCCAUGGCACCAUCCUGGAGCUGCAAGGGAACACCACAGAGCUUGGCAGUGACCCAAGGGCCACCUCUGCCCCAACUGAUGCUGCCUUUGAGGGACUUCUCUGUUGUAGCCUGGGAUCCCUUUCCUGUGCCAGCUGGAAUCGGUACCUCGAAAAGCACCCCAAAAAAAUCAACACUUUUGUCCAAAAAAACCCCAAAAACCCAAAAACCACGGAAGAAGCAAGAUGAAUCCUGGAUCAAGUACCAAAGAUGGACCACUGCAGUUCUACUCAAAUCCACGGGUCCUGCUGCUAAAACCUCGAUGAAAGGAAAGUACCCUGAAGCACAGGAGGGGCUGCGGGGAGCCGUGACAGUCGUGAGGCAAAGCACAUGUUCAAACAAGCCCCGGGCAGGCAGGGGGGUUGAGGGUUUUCUUCCCUCCCAACCCCUUUGCUCCAAGCCUCUGACCGUUGGAUUCUCCCUCCUGCACCGCCAGAACUGCGGCUCCUCGUCCUGUGGCUUUGAGCUCAUUUGUCAAACCCAGAGAUCUUUAUGAAAGGCUGUUAGCAGAGCAUUUACUUCCCAUUUCUCAUCCCAUGCUGUCAUCACCUCCCAAGAUUAAUUAAGGAAAAAAGACAAAGAAAAGACGUCUUGUCUCUCUUUUGUUUCCCCAUUCCUUGCAUUUUUUUUUUCCGCCCCUUUCUCUCUGUUCACGUCCUGAAUAUUGCUGGGGAGCAAAAUAAGCGAAACUCGAUAUUUUCCUCUUCC